GAUGAAGGUCUCUACCACUGUAAAAUCCCAGAGAAAGGAGAGUCUCCACAGAGCUGGAUCUCAGUCAGAGAUUCACCUAAUAUUCUACCAGUAGUAUUGGCGCUGGGACUGAGUUUAACCCUGUUCCUCAUCAUCAUGCUCUGCGUGUUUUGUUGCUACAAGAAGAAGAAGAAAGGAAAUCAGAAAGAUGCCAGUGUGUCUUCAGUCCAGAAUCAGAAUCCAGGAGCUAUUCCACUGCAGGCUGGAAAUGAUCACAUUUAUGACGAUGUGGGUGCAAAGGAAAAUAAUAACACAGAGGAUACUGAAGCUAACACCAGUGAAAUAACUUAUGCCCAAGUGAAGUUUUCAAAAAAGAAACUCAAAGGGAAAGACAAGGAAGCGACUGAGCCAAGUGAUGUGACUUAUUCCCUCAUUCAGAUGAAAACCUUGACACCUUGCAGUGAAGAUGAAGCCAUUCCUGGGCCAAGUGAUGCCAAUCCUGGGCCAAGUGAUGCCAAUCCUGGGCCAAGUGAUGUCGUUUACUCACAAAUUCAGAUAAAACCCAAGAAACCCAAAGGCAAAGAUGUUAAAGCUGAACCCAGUGAUGUGACUUAUGCUGAAAUAGAUCUGAAGGACAAGAAGAACCUAAAGGAAAAUGAGAACAAGCUGCAAAAGGAUGCUGAUGCUGGACCUAGUGAUGUGACUUAUGCUGAAAUUGAUCUGAAGGACAAGAAGAAACCAAAGAAAAAACCUCCUGUUCCUCCCAAGGGGAAAGGCUGUGCAGCAAGUAAUACAGUCUACUCUGAACUGAAACAGAACCUACAGAGACCCUAAAUCUUCAGCACGGAUUUGAAACUCAAACGGAAACAGUGCCAUGAGUGACCAAGGUCUUCUAAACUGUGAGAAUAUUAAGAACAGUACUGUGCAUUUUUUAGGCACCUGUGAGACUUGUAAAAAAGAAUGUAAAAGCUCUUUUUCUGGGCAGAAAGUGUUUAUUACUCUUUCAUAUAAAUAAUAUCAAUACAAAAAUAUGUGUAAUUUUACAUCACUUUGUUCAUUAAAACAUCUCCAUUGUUCUCCUCAUUGGAGUGUAGUAUAUAUUUUUUUUGUAGAUCUCAUUGUAUAAGCAGCUGGUUUGGUAAAUAAGUGCUUAAUAAUGGUAAAUCAGGUGAGCUGCUGAUGGAAUUGAACAAAUCCACUGGGGCACAGUCCAGGAGAAGCCUGGAUCUAAGACUUGUUCUUCAGACUAGCUCUCAAGAUCCCAACUACUUUCUUCAAAAUGUGAAAUGUUUUAGCUACAUCUGUUCUAAUGGGAUCUGCAGUUUUUACAGCAAACUUAAUCUUAUUUCUGAGAUAAUUGAUUUAUAACAAUGAGCUUACGUGCCUAAAACAUAUGCACAGUACUGGUUGUUGUAGAGGUUUGGUGGGAAGGCUGCACAGAAAAAAUGGUAUUGCAAUAUUAGGUUGUUCUGUAAUAUUUAUUGCAGUGUAAAAAAAUACAGAAAAUUUAAGCUGAUUGUUCCAGAAGUCAAAGAUCCAAUGUCUAGAUUUUAAUAAUGUCCUACAUGUAUUAAAGAUUUAAGUAAAAAUAAUAUUGGACAGAGAUAAUCUGAGAAAAAUAAGAUAUUGGAACAUGAUGUGUAUAAUUUAAUCAUUUUAUCUUGCACUGUGACAUUGCAUUAGUGAUACUGAAAUUAUAUAUACAGGGGUUAGACAAUGAAACUGAAACACCUGGUUUUAGACCACAAUAAUUUAUUGUCCUGACGGACAGAUCUGGUGGAAACAGGAGAGUUGAGGUGCAGACAGCUUCCUCUUGCAUCCACAGUUAAUCCUG
rnacentral:lncRNA from 1 species